UAGUAUUUAUUGGUAUUCAAUGUUAGGGUGAAGUGCACAAAGGGGAAUGGUCCAAGGGAGGACAAUACAGAACAAAGGUGGUGCUAUGGCGAUAUACACAGAAACAUACCUGUGUGGCGAAUGUUGUCGACUGCAGCGCGACUGCCACUUCCCGAAGCAUAGACGCUCAUCGACAGCCGGAUAAGAUCUGCCUUAAUACUUCAAAGAUAUGGGAAAGGGAGACGGAAGUGGUGAUGGCAGUGGAGAGGGAAGCGGUAGGGCCGGAUUAUGUCCAGGUCUUCUGUGGGGCUUCCUCUGGCUCCUCAUCCUCUGGUUCGCUGCCUGGCCCAUCGCCGGCUUCCUGGCUGGCUGGUACAUUCUCUUCCUUCCAUUCGGUGCCUGCAUAAACCCAUGCAAAGGAAUAUGUGAAGCUCUACUCAAGGUCAUCCAACUCCCUCUGACAUGCGCAGAGAACAUGGUUGCCAUGAAGCCUGUCUGUGGGUAAAGUCAAGGUGAAGGUCAUGGACGAGCUCUCCAUUUUUAGUCGUAGUGUCUGCAGAGUGCAUGCUUACAAGAAGGAAUGAAGAUCAGGUUCACCUGUCUAGCCGUAUCAGGAAAGAAACAGUACUUAGACCCUGCGACACGUUACAAUGUAGUUUGAAAUUUGUGUUGAAAAUACAACAUCAAGUGUACCUGUAAGUCCAAUCUGACAUUGGACUGGCGUGUGUAGUGGAACACCAAUGUACGAUAAGGACAUGUUUUGUUCUAGCCUGUGUCUCCUACGUCACAAAUACAACAUCAAUCUCCACAGCCCAUCCCAACCGGAGAGUUUCCCAUUUUCGGUUUAUUUGUUUAUGUAUGUAUCAAAGAUCUGAAUGUACGCUAUUUAAAGAUACUUUAAUGUC